rnacentral:rRNA from 1 species
UACGGGGGGAGCAAGCGUUGUUCGGAUUUACUGGGCGUAAAGGGCGCGUAGGCGGCGCAACAAGUCACUUGUGAAAUCUCCGGGCUUAACCCGGAGCGGCCAAGUGAUACUGUCGUGCUAGAGUGCGGAAGGGGCUACUGGAAUUCUCGGUGUAGCGGUGAAAUGCGUAGAUAUCGAGAGGAACACCUGCGGCGAAGGCGGGUAGCUGGGCCGACACUGACGCUGAGGAGCGAAAGCCAGGGGAGCAAACGGG